UUCUGAACUAAGCACCCCAGUUACUUUGCUUGUUUUGUUCUCUCUCUGUCUGAAAACAGGGAGAAAAGAGUUCCGAGUCCCUGAGUUGCUUAAACUGGGAGACAAAACAUUAUGAAAGCUUUAGCUGUGUUCCCUCCAAAUGUUUCUAGAAGUAACAACCAGACAGAAACAAAAGCCAUUCCCGUUGGUGUGUUGGUAUUCCCCGGUGACUGAGGCUUUGAACAUAAAAGUUUUAUUAAAAUAUAUAUCAUGAAAGAAAAGAGAAACAGUUGUACUUUUUCAAGAAGAAGGUAUUUUCCCCCCAUACACAGGACCAUGGGUCCUUUUUAUCAUAGAGAUGACUUAGCUCCUGGGACAUGUGUGUGGAUUAUCACCACAAUUUCAGUAUCAAGACUCCACCAGCAGAAAUUCAAUAACUUUGCUGGGACCUCUCAAAUGCAGACAUCUUCAUGAGCACUUGAGGGAAAAUAUUC
rnacentral:lncRNA from 1 species